rnacentral:hammerhead_ribozyme from 1 species
CCUAGAUGACGAGUCUCAAAUAGGACGAAAUGCGCAUCCUGAAC